rnacentral:rRNA from 1 species
GACGAACGCUGGCGGCGUGCUUAACACAUGCAAGUCGAACGGAAAGGCCCCUUUGGGGGUACUCGCGUGGCGGACGGGUGAGUAACACGUGCGUAACCUGCCCUUGACUUCGGGAUAACUUCAGGAAACUGGGGCUAAUACCGGCUAGGAAUCCUUGCUGCCUGGUGGGGGUUGGAAAGCUUCGGCGGUUUUGGAUGGACUCGCGGGCUAUCAGCUUGUUGGUUGGGUAGUGGCUUACCAAGGGUUUGACGGGUAGCCGGCCUGAGAGGGCGACCGGCCAAAGUGGGACUGGGGUACGGCCCAGAACCCCACGGGGGGCAGGAGUGGGGAAUAUUGCACAAUGGGCGGAAGCCUGAUGCAGGAACGCCGCGGGCGGGAUGACGGGCUUCGGGUUGUAAACCGCUUUCAGCAGGUGCGAAGCUUGUGGUGACGGUACCGGCAGAAGAAGCACCGGCUAACUACGUG